rnacentral:rRNA from 1 species
GACGUAGGGUGCAAGCGUUGUCCGGAUUUAUUGGGCGUAAAGGGCGCGUAGGCGGCGAUUCAAGUGACGGGUGAAAUCCCUCGGCUUAACCGAGGAACUGCCUGUCAGACUGGAUUGCUUGAGGCCGGGAGAGGCGAGUGGAAUUCCCAGUGUAGCGGUGAAAUGCGUAGAUAUUGGGAGGAACACCAGUGGCGAAGGCGGCUCACUGGACUGGUACUGACGCUGAUGCGCGAAAGCGUGGGGAGCAAACAGG